GGUUAAGCGACUAAGCGUACACGGUGGAUGCCCUGGCAGUCAGAGGCGAUGAAGGACGUGCUAAUCUGCGAUAAGCGUCGGUAAGGUGAUAUGAACCGUUAUAACCGGCGAUUUCCGAAUGGGGAAACCCAGUGUGAUUCGUCACACUAUCAUUAACUGAAUCCAUAGGUUAAUGAGGCGAACCGGGGGAACUGAAACAUCUAAGUACCCCGAGGAAAAGAAAUCAACCGAGAUUCCCCCAGUAGCGGCGAGCGAACGGGGAGGAGCCCAGAGCCUGAAUCAGUGUGUGUGUUAGUGGAAGCGUCUGGAAAGGCGUGCGAUACAGGGUGACAGCCCCGUACACAAAAAUGCACAUAUUGUGAGCUCGAUGAGUAGGGCGGGACACGUGGUAUCCUGUCUGAAUAUGGGGGGACCAUCCUCCAAGGCUAAAUACUCCUGACUGACCGAUAGUGAACCAGUACCGUGAGGGAAAGGCGAAAAGAAC
rnacentral:rRNA from 1 species